CAACUUGAGAGUUUGAUCCUGGCUCAGAGCGAACGCUGGCGGCAGGCUUAACACAUGCAAGUCGAACGGGCAUAGCAAUAUGUCAGUGGCAGACGGGUGAGUAACGCGUGGGAACAUACCUUUUGGUUCGGAACAACUGAGGGAAACUUCAGCUAAUACCGGAUAAGCCCUUACGGGGAAAGAUUUAUCGCCGAAAGAUUGGCCCGCGUCUGAUUAGCUAGUUGGUGAGGUAAUGGCUCACCAAGGCGACGAUCAGUAGCUGGUCUGAGAGGAUGAUCAGCCACAUUGGGACUGAGACACGGCCCAAACUCCUACGGGAGGCAGCAGUGGGGAAUAUUGGACAAUGGGCGAAA
rnacentral:ncRNA from 1 species